CAAGGCAGGCAGAUCCCAUUUUCUGCCACCGAAUACAUUAGCAUGGGAUAAUGGAAUAGGACCCUGUCCUCCUAUUUUCAGUUGGUUUUGGCAGCGCGAGGACUAGGGUAAUGAUUAAUAGGGAUAGUUGGGGGCAUUAAUAUUUAAUUGUCAGAGGUGAAAUUCUUGGAUUUAUGAAAGAUUAACUUCUGCGAAAGCAUCUGCCAAGGAUGUUUUCAUUAAUCAAGAACGAAAGUUAGGGGAUCGAAGACGAUCAGAUACCGUCGUAGUCUUAACCAUAAACGAUGCCGACCAGCGAUUAGGAGACGUUGAAUACAAAACACCACCAUCGGCGCGGUCGUCCUUGGCGUCUCGGUCCUUCACGGGGCCGGGGCGCGGGGGCGGCUUAGCCCGGUGGCACCGGUGAAUGACUCCCUAGCAGCUUGUGAGA
rnacentral:rRNA from 1 species